GAUGAACGCUAGCGGCGUGCUUAACACAUGCAAGUCGAACGGAAAGGCCCAAGCUUGCUUGGGUACUCGAGUGGCGAACGGGUGAGUAACACGUGGGUGAUCUGCCCUGCACUUCGGGAUAAGCCUGGGAAACUGGGUCUAAUACCGGAUAGGACGAUGGUUUGGAUGCCAUUGUGGAAAGUUUUUUCGGUGUGGGAUGAGCUCGCGGCCUAUCAGCUUGUUGGUGGGGUAAUGGCCUACCAAGGCGUCGACGGGUAGCCGGCCUGAGAGGGUGUACGGCCACAUUGGGACUGAGAUACGGCCCAGACUCCUACGGGAGGCAGCAGUGGGGAAUAUUGCACAAUGGGCGCAAGCCUGAUGCAGCGACGCCGCGUGGGGGAUGACGGCCUUCGGGUUGUAAACUCCUUUCGCUAGGGACGAAGCGUUUUUGUGACGGUACCUGGAGAAGAAGCACCGGCUAACUACGUG
rnacentral:rRNA from 1 species